CCUGAAUACCUGGGGCCACAAUUUGCUCAACCCUGUUUAAUGCAACCCUGUUGCAUUAGAUGGCAAAAAUGAUCUUUUUGCUUCAGCUUGUUUUCUUUUCAGCUGGUUUUGGAGGCGUCCAAUCGGAGAUCCAACUGGUAGAGUCUGGAGGGGAUGUAAAAAAGCCAGGAGAGUCCCUUCGCCUCUCCUGUCAAGCCUCCGGGUUCACCUUCAGCAGCUAUCCCAUGAACUGGGUGAGACAAGCUUCGGGAAAGGACCUGGAAUGGGUGGCCUUUAUACACACAUCUUCAUCUCACAUUUACUACCUGGAUCCCUUCAAAGGAAGAUUCACCAUUUCCAGGGAUGAUUCAAACAGCCAGCUGUAUUUGCAAAUGAACAACCUUAAACCUGAGGACACAGCCGUGUAUUACUGUGCAAGAGACACAGUGAGAGGCUUCCCAUUAGACCUUAGACAAAAACCCUUCAUUGCAUUCCUUUUGUGA